rnacentral:rRNA from 1 species
UACGUAGGUGGCAAGCGUUGUCCGGAUUUACUGGGCGUAAAGAGCGCGCAGGCGGUCGUUCAAGUCGCGUGUGAAAGCCCCCGGCUCAACUGGGGAGGGUCACGCGAUACUGAUCGACUCGAAGGCAGGAGAGGGUAGUGGAAUUCCCAGUGUAGCGGUGAGAUGCGUAGAUAUUGGGAGGAACACCAGUGGCGAAGGCGGCUCACUGGACCGGUUCUGACGCUGAAGCGCGAAAGCGUGGGGAGCAAACGGG